rnacentral:rRNA from 1 species
AACGAACGCUGGCGGCAGGCUUAACACAUGCAAGUCGAACGCUCGUAGCAAUACGGGAGUGGCGGACGGGUGAGUAACGCGUGGGAACGUGCCCUGAGGUACGGAAUAACUGCGGGAAACUGCAGCUAAUACCGUAUGAGCCCCGCAAGGGGGAAAGAUUUAUCGCCUUGGGAGCGGCCCGCGUCGGAUUAGCUAGUUGGUGGGGUAACGGCCUACCAAGGCUUCGAUCCGUAGCUGGUCUGAGAGGACGAUCAGCCACACUGGGACUGAGACACGGCCCAGACUCCUACGGGAGGCAGCAGUGGGGAAUCUUGCGCAAUGGGGGUAACCCUGACGCAGCCAUGCCGCGUGAAUGAUGAAGGCCUUAGGGUUGUAAAGUUCUUUUGCCCGUGACGAUGAUGACGGUAACGGGAGAAUAAGCUCCGGCUAACUUCGUG